rnacentral:rRNA from 1 species
UAAGAGUUUGAUCCUGGCUCAGGACGAACGCUGGCGGCGUGCUUAAAACAUGCAAGUCGAACGAGAGCUUCGGCUCGAGUGGCAAACGGCUGAGUAACGCGUGGGUGACCUGCCUGGAAGUGGGGAAUAACUGCCCGAAAGACUGGCUAAUACCGCAUGAGAUCGAGAGAUGAAAGCAGGGGACCGCAAGGCCUUGCGCGAGAGGAGCGGCCGAUGCCGGAUUAGCUAGUUGGCGGGGUAAAAGCCCACCAAGGCGACGAUCCGUAGCUGGUCUGAGAGGACGAUCAGCCACACUGGGACUGAGACACGGCCCAGACUCCUACGGGAGGCAGCAGUGGGGAAUAUUGGACAAUGGGGGCAACCCUGAUCCAGCAAUGCCGCGUGUGUGAAGAAGGCCUGCGGGUUGUAAAGCACUUUCAGAGGGGAAGAAAAAUCGGAGCUAACACCUCCGAGCUUGACGUUACCCUUAGAAGAAGCACCGGCUAACUCCGUGCCAGCAGCCGCGGUAAUUC